rnacentral:rRNA from 1 species
GCCCUUAGAGUUUGAUCCUGGCUCAGGACGAACGCUGGCGGCGUGCUUAACACAUGCAAGUCGAACGGGGUGUUUAUUUCGGUAAACAUCAAGUGGCGAACGGGUGAGUAACGCGUAAGCAAUCUACCUUCAAGAUGGGGACAACACUUCGAAAGGGGUGCUAAUACCGAAUGAAUGUAAGAGUAUCGCAUGAGACACUUACUAAAGGAGGCCUCUGAAAAUGCUUCCGCUUGAAGAUGAGCUUGCGUCUGAUUAGCUAGUUGGUGAGGGUAAAGGCCCACCAAGGCGACGAUCAGUAGCCGGUCUGAGAGGAUGAACGGCCACAUUGGGACUGAGACACGGCCCAGACUCCUACGGGAGGCAGCAGUGGGGAAUCUUCCGCAAUGGGCGAAAGCCUGACGGAGCAACGCCGCGUGAACGAUGAAGGUCUUAGGAUCGUAAAGUUCUGUUGUUAGGGACGAAGGGCAAGGGUUAUAAUACAGCCUUUGUUUGACGGUACCUAACGAGGAAGCCACGGCUAACUACGUGCCAGCAGCCGCGGUAAUACGUAGGCGGCAAGCGUUGUCCGGAAUUAUUGGGCGUAAAGGGAGCGCAGGCGGGAAACUAAGCGGAUCUUAAAAGUGCGGGGCUCAACCCCGUGAUGGGGUCCGAACUGGUUUUCUUGAGUGCAGGAGAGGAAAGCGGAAUUCCCAGUGUAGCGGUGAAAUGCGUAGAUAUUGGGAAGAACACCAGUGGCGAAGGCGGCUUUCUGGACUGUAACUGACGCUGAGGCUCGAAAGCUAGGGUAGCGAACGGGAUUAGAUACCCCGGUAGUCCUAGCCGUAAACGAUGGAUACUAGGUGUGGGAGGUAUCGACCCCUUCCGUGCCGGAGUUAACGCAAUAAGUAUCCCGCCUGGGGAGUACGGCCGCAAGGU